AUUCCAGCUCCAAUAGCGUAUAUUAAAGUUGUUGCGGUUAAAAAGCUCGUAGUUGGAUUUCUGCCGAGGACGACCGGUCCGCCCUCUGGGUGAGCAUCUGGCUCGGCCUGGGCAUCCUCUUGGAGAACGUAGCUGCACUUGACUGUGUGGGGCGGUAUCCAGGACUUUUACUUUGAGGAAAUUAGAGUGUUUCAAGCAGGCAUACGCCUUGAAUACAUUAGCAUGGAAUAAUAAGAUAGGACCUCGGUUCUAUUUUGUUGGUUUCUAGAGCUGAGGUAAUGAUUAGUAGGGACAGUUGGGGACAUUUAUAUUCCAUGGCUAGAGGUGAAAUUCUUGGAUUCAUGGAAGAUAAACUACUGCGAAAGCAUUUGUCAAAGAUGUUUUCAUUA
rnacentral:rRNA from 1 species